UUCGGUGGUCAUUGCGGAGGGGAUCUACCCGGUCCCAUUCCGAACCCGGAAGUUAAGCCCUCCAGCGCCGAUGGUACUGCCCUGGAGACGGGGUGGGAGAGUAGGUCGCUGCCGGAA
rnacentral:rRNA from 1 species